ACCCAGCACUGGACACCCCGAAUCCAGCCCUGCUCUCCCAAAAUCCACCCACAAACCCAAAACCACAUCCCUGCUCCCCCCAAAAUGGAUCCAAGCCCCCCCCCAACCCAUCACAGCCCCCUGAAAACCCAUUUCCAGCCUCCUAAACCCUUUCCCUGGUCCUCUGAAACCCAUCCAAGUCCCCCAUGACCCAUAUGCAGCCCCCCAAAACCAUUUUCCAGUCCUCCAAACCCAAUCCCUUGUCCCCCAAACCCAUCCAAGCCCCCCAAAACCUCUCCCUAGUUUCCCAAAACCCCUCCGAACCCCACAAUAUCCAUCCCCACCUCCCAAGUUCCAGCCCAACAUAAACCAUCCCCAGCCCUGCUGAAAUCCACCUCUGUUCCCUUAAAACACAGCCUAGCCCUCACACCCACACACCUAUUUCCAGCCCCAGAAAACCCCUCCCUGUUCCCCUAAACCCUGUGUCCAAGCCCCAUAGCCAUUCUCAUGACUUUUUUGGACAUUAAUAUUUAUUCUGGCCAAGCCAAGAGCACUCCCCCCCACACUUUCCCUGCUUGACAGUAACACCUGGAAAAUAGGCCAGGCAAGAAUAGGGAGGGGUAGGCAAGUCAAGGCAGAGGAUGGGUAUGGAAGGCAAUGCAAGGAAGGGAGAAGUGGGCAGAGAGAGGCAAGGCAAGGCAAAGGAUGGCCAGGAAGAGUUAGGCAAGGCAGGGGAGGGGUAGGCAAAGCAAUGGAAGUCAAACAAGGGCAGGUAAAGCAAGGAAAGGCCAGGCAAGAAAGGGGCAGUUAAGGUGAUAUGUAAGGUAAUGCAAGGGAGGUGUAGAAAGGAAGGAAAACAGCUAGGCCCAGUGUUUCAGGUGCAGAGGAUGGGCUACCCAGGGGACAUAAAGACCAGCCCCAGCUUUCUGUUCUGGUACCUCUGGUAUAGAAAAAUCCAAGGUGUAUACAGUUUUUGAGGAUUGGCUCCAAAUUUCUAGGGUGGGGUUCAGGAAGUGAAUCACUAGAGUGUCUUUCUUUGGGAAGCAAAGGAUGUAGUCCCACUGUUUGUGGUACCAUGGGGAGCUAAACAGCAGCAAGACAGUUCUCUCCUGGCUGGCCCCCUUUGUGUAGGAGCAAUUCUUGGAUGCUGGCAAUAUUGGAGAUGGUAUCUGACUUUUGGGUCUGGACUCCUGGAAGUGUGUCCCAGUGCUUUUACACGGGGAGGAAGGCAGGUAAUCCCAGUGCUUCAGGUGCAGGGCAGAGGCUGCAGCAGCCAGGAGCAGCUUUCUGUCCUGGGACAUUUUGUGUGGGAGCAAUCCCCCGACGACUGCAACGACCGAGUGGGGAUCCAAAUUUUGGAGUUAACCUUCUGCAAAGGGAUCACAGUGCUCUUCAUAAAAACACAUAGUCCUGGGGCUUGUGCUGCAAAGAAUUGGGUGCCCAGGGGAUGAAAGGGACAGCAAUAGUUUUUCUAUCUGGCACCUUUGGUGUGGGAGCAACCUCCCAGCAUCUUCAGUUUUUUAGGUGGUCUUCUGCAACGUUUGGCAGUCUGUUUGCUAUGGGCAAGUUUUAGAUCCUGACUCUGUGAGACUGAAGGAUUACGAUGGUGCAGAGAGCCGAAGGAGCAGAUUCCGGGGGGUGUGCUGCAGUUCAGCGGGUGCGGCUGAAGGUGGAGACAGCAACAGCUUUCUCGCCUGGCACUUCUGUGAGCUCUGUUUUUGCCGGAUGUAUUUUCGAUUCCGUAGCUGGAUUCUGAGAGAGGGGGGAAAAAAUUUACUAGUACAUACUUGGGAAGGAGCUCGAGUUUGCACGUGGAAGGUCAGCCAAACCUUUCAGUCCCGACACGGUUCAUUUGAGGGCGGUGAGGUUUUGAACUUGGCUGGUUUAGCUGGUUUAGCCCUGGGACAUUGACUUUUGCAAGUCCACACCGCCAUCGCGUGGUGGUUUGAUGAGCGGUGAAAGCCAAGCGCUUCUUGUGCUGGGACCAUUAGUUAGCGCAGGGGUUGAAUUUUGGAUGCUGGCUCCUCGAGGAUGAAAGAACGUGAUCCUGCAUUACGCGUGGGAAGGAAGGCGAAUCGUCUCCUUGUUGGCUCUGCAGUUUCUAGGCUUCAAAAGAGGAGUGAAUCCCAGCACUGGCUUUUUCUUCCAGAACCUUUUCUAGGGGACCAGCUGCUUGAACUGGUUUUAGUUUUGUGACUGUGAGGCAGAAGGUGUGUGAGGGGACACAGAGCUGGGCACACAGACCCGUGCCUGUCGUGCAGUUUAUAAGCUGCAAAAGCAAAGCGAAGGCCAGAGCUGACUUUCUGUUCCUUUUUGUCAAAGGAGGCAAGUUAAAUGUGGAGACAGUAACAGCUUGCUGAGCAGGCACCUUUUGUGACCAAUAUCUACACUUGACACAGUUCAGGUACAGGAUCCCUGCAAGAGUGAAAGAACGUGAGAGUACCUACAGUUUGAAAGGAAAGCUUGUAGCCCCAGGGCACACGGUGUUGAUAUCCUUCGAGGUGACUGUGAAGCCAAUUAACUGUUUUCUCCCAUUUUGUUUUCAGAUUAAGGUUAUGGAGCUGGUCUCAGCAAGAGGAAAAAUGCAAAGGGUGCAUGCAGCUGAAAAAACAAAGCAUAAUAUCAAUGUAUGUUGUGCAGUUUAAGGCUGUAUGGGAAAUGUGAUGCCCAGAACUGUCAUUUUUUUCUAGGACUGUUUUCUAGAGGCAGCAGAUUCUGAAAGGCUGUCUGUGAGAGUAGAGGAUGCAACAUCCACCUGAGAAGAAACUCCCAUAGGCCAUUUCCAUUUGAAACCCUUAACUGGCACCAGAAUCAAGGGGCAAUCCUCAUCCUCACUGGCCACACCUGGGGCUGCCCCACCCCCUUAUCACCCUCACUGCUCACACCUGGGGCUGCCCCAGGUGAGAGGUGACUCCACCCAGUGCUCCCAGUUCCCUCCCACUGCUCCCAGUAUCAUUCCUUGACUCCUCUCAGUACUCCCAGUUCCCUCCCACUGCUUCCAGUAUCACUCCUUGGCUCUCCCCUGUAUUCCCAGUUCUCUCCCAGAGCUCAUAGUUCCCUCUCUCUGCUCCCAGUAUCACUCUUUGACUCCCCCCAGUGCUACCAGUUCUCUCCCAGUGCUCCCAGUUCCCUCCCGCUGCUCCCAGCAUCAUUCCUUGACUCCCCCCAGUGCUCCCAGUUCCCUCCCACUGUUCCCAGCAUCACUCCUUGAUUCUAAAAUUGAAUAUGGAUGAAGAUUCCUCCCAGACAAAAGGGGCCAUGACAGAAAGGGUCUGGGGGAAAGGGGGAAGCCACAAGCUUAGAGAUGGCACUUCUGGUCAGCUCAAAUUCUGUUUUUAGCUUGCCUCCUCCCCAAUUUUGUCUCAGUUGUGCCCACCUAAUUCUUCAGCUGCUGCUCCCUGGGAGGAGGUGACCCUUGUCCAUGGUGGCACAGCUGAUCUGGACAAGAUGAGGAGGAAUAAACACCAGCUGAAGGCCUCUGUGAGCUGUUUUGGGUCGUGGCAGCACUUUUGAACAUCACAUUGAUGCCUUUGGUGAUGCAGCACUAAAUAUUAAUUACCCCUAAACCAACUCUGUGUCUGUUCUCCCAAGGUCUCACACCUGCCUCAUCCUCCAUGUCAGAUCCUACUUUAUUUUCUAAAUAAAUACCCUGCAGCCACCA